rnacentral:rRNA from 1 species
UACAGGGGGUGCAAACGUUGCUCGGAAUCAUUGGGCGUAAAGCGCGUGUAGGCGGCCCGGUAAGUCCGCUGUGAAAGUCGGGGGCUCAACCCUCGGAUGCCGGUGGAUACUGUCGGGCUAGAGUGCGGGAGAGGCGAGUGGAAUUCCUGGUGUAGCGGUGAAAUGCGCAGAUAUCAGGAGGAACACCGGUGGCGAAGGCGGGACUCUGGGCCGAUACUGACGCUGAGGAGCGAAAGCGUGGGGAGCAAACAGG